GUUGGACUCCACGACCGUACGGACGUGUCUGGAAUUUUGAAUUUCUCAUAGUAUUGGGAGUCUCGCAAGGUCUGUGUAGAUACGGCUCUGCGCCACACGCAGGGUUAUACAUGUACCAUGGUACAUUCUCGAAUAAAUGACAGAGACCUCACCCAGAGUGUACGUUAUUUGUAUACAAACAUGCACCUCUACUACAUUUGCAAACUUCUGUAGAAUCCGCUACGCGGAUUCAUACAGUUUGCAAACAAAAUUUGUUUCAUACCCCGAUGAAA